rnacentral:rRNA from 1 species
UACGUAGGGGGCUAGCGUUGUCCGGAAUCAUUGGGCGUAAAGCGCGUGUAGGCGGUUCGGUAAGUCCGCUGUGAAAGUCGGGGGCUCAACCCUCGAAUGCCGGUGGAUACUGUCGGGCUAGAGUGCGGAAGAGGCGAGUGGAACUCCUGGUGUAGCGGUGGAAUGCGCAGAUAUCAGGAAGAACACCAACGGCGAAGGCAGCUCGCUGGGACGGUACUGACGCUGAGACGCGAAAGCGUGGGGAGCGAACAGG